AUCCCCUCAUUUGUCAAAUGCUCUCAAACCCCUUCAGAAUCUCAUCCCUUCUCUGGCUCAGUUUCACCAGUGUUUAUGGCUUUUGAAGCUGCAAAACCCUGUACUCACCUCUCCCUACAUCCUAUGGUACUUUUGUUCGAAGAUCGAAACCUUAUCUUGAAGACUAUCGACUCAGAGAUCCUUCGACUGGAGUUUUACAGCCAUGUCCGGUCUCUCUCUGCCAAGCCUUGAUGCUGUGAGUCCUUUAUCGACUCAGAAACAGACCGUUCCUGGCCUUUCUCGUGUCUCUAUGGUUCUCUCUCUGAAACCCUAAUUUUCAACGUUUUAUCUGUGUCUUUCUUUACGAUCUUGUCUAGAUCCCAGUUAUUUUAUAAAUUUUCAAAGUAUUUCUCACACUUCUUCGUCGACUUUGUUUUCAAACUGUUCGCCUUCCUAAAAUUUAGGGUUUCUUUAAUUUCUUUGCUUUAUCUGCUCUAUUUUCAUUUCCUUUAAACUUUACUGUGAUUGCUGAGUAUCUGCUACUAUGGCUCCUCUGUAUUUUCUUUACUAUGGUAUUUCUAGGGUUUCCGAGUUAAGUGCUUAAAUGUAUUCUUUGUUUUUCCUUAUGCUGUUAUUCCUAAGUUUAUCUUCAUCUAGGCUUCUUCUUCAUACUCUAUAUGUGAUGGAAACCCUAGGAUUUAGGGGUUUUCCCUUUAUCUUUGUGUAAAUGCUUGCUACAUGCUUAAACCCUAACUGCUUCUGAAUUCCUACUUGUAUGCUUCUGCUCUUUGACUACAGGAUUUGUUCUACUAAUUCCAGGCUUGCAUGUUCGAAUUUGUGUACCUCUUUAUAUAGUAAUAUUUCCCCCCUUUCUGAAUAACCCUAAUUUUGGGAAAUUGAUUUUUCUUACAAACUUAUUUGAUUAUUUUAUUUGGACUUGCUCUUUGACUAAGUUCAGUAUCAAAUUGUAUCUCAAAUUUCUUGAUUCUCUAUGUGAUUGACUUGCCUUAUGUGUUAAACCGUGUGAAUUUAAAAAAACCUUACACGUAUUUACCCUUUAUUUUAUAACUUAUUCUUGAUUCUCUUCCCAAAAAUAUACUUGGUUUUUUUUACCUCAAGUUCGAUUCCUUAAUUAGAGGGAACCCUUUUCCCUAAUUGAUUAUGAUUGAUGUUAAAUUAUUUUCUUCCUUAUUGGCUGCUUACUUUCAAGCUAUAAGAUCCCACACCUCUUUUCAUUUCAACACGAACAAUCCUGAGUUCACUCACAUAAACACUCUCUCUUCUAUUCUCUAUUCUUCAUUAUUACUUGUCUUACUGCUUGAGUUUAGCCGGCUGAAAGCCAAGGCUAAGCUAUAAGGUCUCACCUGCUCUAUUUGCUCUACUGUUUGAGUUUUACAACUGGUAGGUUCCUAAUUUACAUAAUAACUCCAAACUAUAUGUUUAUUUACCCCUUCCCCCAUGUCUAUUUAUGUUCAGUAUGUAGUUAGAUUUCAGUAUGCACAUCCCUACCACAUAUCCCCAUGCUUUUGAUGCUAUAUAUGUGUAUGAUUACAUUAUUGUACAUCCCUUUCACCAAAGUCCCUUCUGUUUAACUAUGUUCUUUUUUUGUAUAAAUGCUUUCAUAUUUGAUCCCUUUCCCCAAACCCUUGUUUGUGUAUGAGUUGAGUUUUAGACUAGGAUGGCAUUCCAUUGCUAUUCCUAGUUUAGAACCAGGUUGUUCUCAACCUAUACUCAAAGUAAUCCCACUCCCUUAACCCCCCAUUAUGUGUUGAGAUUUGACUCGGGUCUGUUGGUGCCCUAAUCACCAUACAGGCCUAAGUCCGACCUAUUUCAAGUUUGCUCUUACUUGUUAAAACAAUGUAAAGGGUCAGGGGUAUGCCAGUCUCCCAUGGCUAGGUAUGACCACCUUUGCAUAGUCCUUCCUCUAAUCCUUCACCUUUACAAUUAUUCUUAGUCUCUUAAGUUCUGCCCCCCUUUGGUAAGACAUGCCUUGGGACCCUUGAGUUCCCUCUAAUCUCGGAUGCCUUAGGGAUGGUACUGCCACACUGCACUAUUCUGUUACUCUAAGCUAUUUAGGGUGUUAAGCACUGCCGGGAGUCCCUGAGAUUCCUUGGAACUUUGAAAAUACCUUAAGUAUGAGAAGGCCUUGGAAUCUAGAAUCCGGAUUUAGUAAAAUUCAUGGGUUGGACAUUAAGGUUGCUUCGAGACUCCCCGGGCCUGUUGUAGUUCGGAUGUAUUUGUCUUAUUUUUUCUUUAGUCCUUUCUUUCAAGUUUUUUUAAUAAUCAUGUAUACGAUUUGGGGAUAUUAGUGAAAGGGUGUGGGAAGGGCUUUAUUAUUUCUGCACAAGUCAAAUGGUAGAAACCAUAUUCAUAGGGUUCUACGCUUAAAUCACUUAGAAAGCAUGUCUAUAGCACUUGCAUAUUUUUGUAUUCAAAUGCAUAUAGAAAUCCUGCCUAUAGGACUUGCAUAUUUUCGCAAUCAAAUGCAUAUAGAAAUUCUGCCUAUAGGAUUUGCAUAUUUUUGUAAUCAGAUGCAUAUAGAAAUCCUGCCUAUAGGACUUGCAUAUGCGAUAGGCAAGUUGUAAUGUUAGACGCUCAAUUAUUCAUCAAUUCCUUAACAGCUUUUAAAAUCAGAAGCAUAGACAUCAUGCCUAUAAGAUAAAUUGUCAAACUCGCUCUAUUCGCUUGAUUAAUAAUAGUCAGUCAUCUAAGCCUUAAUGUUUCCAAAUAACGUUUCCCGAACACUGUUUAACUAUGCAUUCUUUUAAAACAUCAUAAGUCUAUGUUAUCUGUCUGUUUAAAAUAACUUCUACCCAAAGUGUUUUCUUUGAAACAGUCUUUUGGAAUAAUCUGCUUGCUCGAAUGCUUUCGCUUUACCUAUGCAUAAAAAAAAGCAUCUUGCCGCAGCAUUUUCGAAAUAGAUGUGCAACUCGCUUUUUCUCAAAUCUGCUUGUCUUUCUGAAACUUUUCUGCACAUUUUACUUAAACUGUCCACUUCUUUUUCAAAUCUCUUGUUUCCUCUACUGCUUAUUUUAAAGACUCCCCUGCCUCUUUAAAUACAACAACUCCUGAUAACGUGCCGGUGAAGCUCAAAGCAGAUUUUCUAUCCACCUUUAUGUGUUUAACUAAUCUAUUCGCGACCAGCUUUAAUAUUCAGACCAAAUCAGUAUUUGAAACUCGUGCUAGACUAAUAGCUAUUAUGGCCUACGGGUUUUAUAUCAGCCUUUUAACGUCCGAUUUGUAUACCUUUAUAUGCUAUUUGUUUUGCUUGAUGCUUAGUAUUUUUACCUUUGAAAACUCCAUAUAUGUCCUAUCUUUCUCUCCCCCUCUUAAGACUAGAAUUCCUAAUACCCCCGGACUAAUAAGUUGGGACGGGUACUAGAAUGCAAUAAGUAAAACCAGACCAAACACGCUUAAUACCUUAACGGGGUGGGAAGGGUAGAAUAUGGAGAUGAUGACGAUGCGAUAAUAUCAUAAAGCGACCCCUCUUUGGGAAUAUAACUAGAAUUCCUAAUACCCCCGGACUAAUAAGUUGGGACGGGUACUAGAAUGCAAUAAGUAAAACCAGACCAAACACGCUUAAUACCUUAACGGGGUGGGAAGGGUAGAAUAUGGAGAUGAUGACGAUGUGAUAAUAUCGUAAAGAGACCUCUCUUUGGGAAUAUGUGCGGGAUAUUGUAUUGAAUGAUUCAUAUUAUAGUCAAACCUAUGACCUCUUUCUCCUUUGCUUGCUCUAUUUAAACGUUUUUCCUAAAUUAAUGCUUUUUUUUUCAAACUAAUUCCCCCCUUAUGCUUAACUUAUACCCUUCCCCUUUUCAAAAGUUUCUCAAGUUGCUUGAAUGCUUUAUAUGUGAGCUUUAUUUGUUUAUUUGCCUUAUUAAAGUCACAAUUAGCACAGCCGCGAACUACACUAGUGGAUCUUGAGGGGUGCCUAACACCUUUCCCUCGAGAUAAUCUCAAGCCCUUACCCGAACUCUGGUUUUCCUUCAGAGUACUCUCUUCUUCUUAAAAGUUUCCUAAUGCACUAUAAUCAUUAGGUGGCGACUCUUCAAAUUCCAAUACCCAAUUCCCAAAUGAGAAUAAGGGUUUUUUUGUCCAUAAUGUCAUAAACCCGAUUUUGCUUCUUUUUAGUAGGGAAAAAGGGGCGUUGACAGAGUGCAAAAUGCUAUCAUAGGGACAUCAAACGCCCAAAUCCUCAGCUGAUGGUAGCCUGAUUGAUAAUCUAUCUUUGGAAACACCCUCGCACCUUGAAGCGUGUCGAAUAAAUCGUUGGUCCUCGGUAGUGGAAACUUGUUCUUUAUCGUCACCUUAUUUAACUGCCUGUAAUCGAUCCACAUCCUCAUCGACCAAUCCUUUUUCUUAACAAAUAACAUGGGUGCACCAUAAGGCAACGUACUGGGUCUAAUGAAACCCUUAUCAAGCAAAUCCCGAAGCUGCUUCUUUAACUAUUUCAACUCGAGCGGGGUCAUGCGAUAUGGUGGAUUGGAAAUAGGCAGAGUGCCCAGAGCGUAAUCAAUACAAAAAUCAAUAUCCCUGCCGGGCGGCAUACCCAGUAGGUCAUAGGGGAAAACCUCGGGGAACUCCCGAACAAUAGGAACAGAACCAAUGGAAGGAACCUCUGCGCUGGAGUCGUGAACAUACGCCAAAUGAGCUAAACACACCUUCUUAACCAUGCGUCAAGCCCUCACAUACGAUAUCACACUGCGGGUCGAAUAAUCUAAAGUCCCUCUUCACUCAAAAUAAGGCAAAUCUGGUAAAGCCAAGGUCAAAGUCUUGGUGUGACAAUCCAAAAUAGCAUGAUACAGGAACAACCAAUCCAUCCCCAAUAUGACGACGAAGUCUACCAUAUCUAAGAGCAAUAAGUCAACACGGGUCUCAAGACCCUCAAUUACUACCACACAUGAAUGAUGCACUCGGUCGAUCACAAUUGGAACCGCCCACCGGUGUAGAUACAUAAACAAGAAUACUCAAAGCAUCACAAAGCAUGAUCAAGCAUGGUGCAAAAUAGGACGACACAUACGAAUUCAUAGACCAAGGGUAAAAUAGCACUGCGGCAUCUCCAUCACAAAUCAGAAUAGCACCUGUAAUGUCUGCAUUUGAAGGAUCAGCCUCUAGCCUGGCCGCUGGCUGGCCUCUACCUCUGGCGGCCUGAACUCCACUUCUAUGACCUCUACCUCUGCCUAUAUGAUCUCUUCCACCACUUCUGACUGGCUGGGUAGGCGGGGGAAUCUCUGGUGCUCGAAUCCGAGUACGAGAACUCUGAUAGUGAGUGCUGCUCGAAGCUCUAGGGAAAAAUCUGACAAUUUCCCUCGAAUCACCACAAGCAUCGCAAAACCUCGCCUGCUGCGGCUGAGCACCCCUCAACCUUGAACAAACCCUCCUAUUGUGACCAUACUCACCACACUCAAAACAUCUACACAAAUGUUGCGGCUGAGGAAACUGAGUUUGACCCUGUCGACCUGAAUGAACACUUGAAGUACCAUGAGUGACAUAGGGAGUUGACUGAAAAGGCCAGGGAGAACGACCUCUACUAUAAGUACCUCUACCUCCAGACGAGGAAUCACUGAAUAUGCCUCCAUGACGAGGCCUCUUAUCCAACCUAUGACCGAUUCCCACUAGCAGUACCACCUCAAUCCUACGGCCCACAUUGGCCGCCUCCUGAAAAGUGGUCUCACUCUCGGCCUGAGCCACUGUACCUGGUUGACCUAAUACCGCUGGUUGAACUCCUAGAAGCAAACCCACUCGAAUGAUGCUCUCCACAAAGCUUACCAAUCUGACCAAAGCAUCCUGAAGAAUUGGGGUGGCUAUGAACCCUUCUGGGACUUGAGCUGGGUCGGCCGGAGCUGCUGGGGCAGGAACCUCCUCCUCAAACUCAACCUGGGGAUCCACCUCUAGGGCUGCUGCUCGGGGCUCGGGCUGCUGAGCGUUAGAUGAAGAAGUGUGUGUUCUCGCCAUCGGCGAAAGAAUAGAGUAGAAAUUCAAUCGGUGUUUGAGAAACGGAAACGCACAACAAGAAAGAACAAAUGUGAAGUUUUUCCUAACUCAAUAGCCUCUAGGGGAUAAAUACAGACGUCUCCGUACCAAUCCCUCAGACUCUAUCAAGUUUGUCCGUGUGUUGUGAGACCUAUGUAACCUAGUGCUCUGAUACCAACUUGUCACAACCCGGAAUUUCCACCAUCGGGAGUCGUGAUGGCGCCUACUAAUAAGAGCUAAGCAAGCCAAUUAUCAAAUACCUAUAUAAUGAGCAUCAACAAUAUUAACAAUAAUAAAACACAUUUAACAAUAAAGCGGAAGUCUCAACUAUAAUUUACUAAAAGAAAUGAGGAAGAUUAAUGAAACCUCUGCCCAAGACUAGUGUCAUAUUACUCAUGGACUUCUAGAGAAUACUAAAUACUUGGUUCGAAUGAAGCAUAAAACUGUCUACUACGGUACAAUGAUAACAAACUGGGUGAAAUAGAAAGGACUCCGGGCUUACGGGUGUCAACAAGGCUAUCUCGAAUGUCCCUCGACUAGGAGCUGGCUUCCGAAAUGCUACUGCUGCUCGAAUGCUGCUCUAACACCUGGAUCUGUGCAAAAAGAUGCACAUAGUGUAGCAUCAGCACAAUCGACCCCAUGUGCUGGUAAGUGCCUGGCCAAACCCCGGCGAAGUAGUGAUGAGGCUAGACAAGACCUACCAAAAAUAACCUGUGCAGAUAUAUAUGUAUAAGAGCAAGAAACAAUAACAAUAAAAUGCAAUGUAAAACUGGAAGGGGACAUGCAAUCGGGAAGUAACAAAUAAGAAAUGAGAUAUCAUAAAUAAAUAGCCGAACUGCCCCAAUAUUUCCAUGAUAUAUGUACACAGUGGAAGGCAUGCCACACGAUUUCAUAGAAUAGUAUAUAAGUGACGGCGCACGACAGGAUACCAAUUCAUCACAUAUAAGUGGAUGACGCACCACACGAUCCCAAUUCAUCAAACAGUGCGCCACACGAUCUCAUUUAAUAAUACAUAAGUGGACGACGUGCCGCACGCUCCCAUUUCAUUAUCAACAAAAUGCACAAAAUGCCACCGACAUCUAAGGCCAAUAACCAUAACCAAUAAUAAUUGUGGUAGGCGUACCACUCAUUCCCAUUUCAUCAUCUAAUCUGUGGUAGGCGUACCACUCGCUCCCAUUUCAUCAUAUAAUCUCUGGUAGGAGUACCACUUGCUCCCAUUUCAUCAUAUAAUUUGUUGUAGGUGUACCAUUCUUUGCCAUAUCAUCAUUAACACCAUGCACACUAUGUCACCGACAUCUAAGGCCAAUAACAAUAAUAAUUACAAAUCGUUGUAAGUGUACCACCCGCUCCCAUUUCAUAAUAUGUGAGUGGAUGUCGUGCCACACGAUCCCAAUCAUAAUAUCUCGUGGUUGGCGUACCACAAGAUCCCUUAUCUAUCAACACAAAACACAAAGUAACCCCAACAACGGAGGACAAAUAUUAUAAUAGAUUAUCCCGGCAAGGGAGAUCCAGCUAUAACCAAACUCAUUCAAUUCCUACCUAACACAAUUAAAUACAUACUUAGUCUCAACAAUUACUGGCUCGGCAUUAAGAUUUUCAACCAAUGCUUCGUAAAUAACAAUUAAGAAUUCGACAAUUUAAUAAUUUAAGACUCACGGUCAUACUCGACUCCGGUGUAUAGAUACUCAUCACCAUGACAAUACACCAUACUCAACAUGUAACAAUUAGAAAAUAAUACCCUAAUCCUAUCUCCUCAAGACAAAGUUAGAUCAAACACUUACCUUGAAAGCUCCAAACUCAACUCACGCCUCUAGUUUUACCCCUCGAAUUUGCCACAAAACAGCUCGAAACUAGUCACAAAUUACUCAAAUAUAUCAAAAAAUGCUAGUUAAAUCAAUUUGAAUGCAUAAGAAUGAAUUUCCCAAAGUUUUUCCCAAGAUUCUCAAAAUGCCCCCGGACCUACGUGGUCAAAACCCGAGGUUCGCUCCAAUGCCUGGUUACCCAUUCCCCCACGAGUUCAUAUCUAUGUUUUGUUUUGAAAUUGGACCUGAAAUUGAGGUCCACAUCCCAAAUUUAGUGAAAACCUAAGUUCUACCCCAAAAUCCCCAUUUUCACCCAUGGAAAACCUCGAUUUUAAGAAUGGAAACAUGAUAAAUGAUUUUAACGAUUGAAGAAGUUGAGUAAAAGUUGACUUACAAAUGAUUUGGAGAAGAUUGAGUUCAUGCAAAAUCGCCAAUGGGUGUUUGGGUUUUGAAAAUAUGAAAAAUGAAUAUUUUAAAUUGUCUAUGUAUGAAAUAUGUGAUGACCCGGCCUGUCAUCUUUGGAAUUUAUACCCCGUUCCCCCAUUAGUUGUUUCCCCUACAUUCAUUUCUGCUAUUUUGGUUUUUCGGGACGUUCAGUGUGAGAAUUCAGAGUGUUUUGGGACACAUAGUCCCUAGAUGAGCGUGUAAGUGUUGGAAAAUGGUCUGUAAUCAUAACAGUGUGAAGACGACCUCAAAAUGGAAGUCCGAUGGUUCUGUUAGCUCCGCUAGGUGAUUUUGAGGUUGGGAGCGUGUUCGGAAUGUAUUUUGGAUCUCUGUAGACAUUUAAGCUAGAAAUGCCGAAAGUUCGAAUUUUGAAGUUUCCGGUCCGAUUGUAAGCUUUUGGUCUGAAGGUCGAAACAGGAUUUCGGAAGUUCCUAUAGCACCGUCAUGUCAUUUGGGACGUGCGUGCAAAACUUAAGGUCAAUCGAACGAGAGUUGAUUAGGCUUUGAAUCGAAAGCGUUUUUUGGAUGAACUUGAAGUUCUUAGGCUUGAAUCUUUGAUUUGAUUGAGGUUUUGAUGUUGUUUUAGGUGCCUUAUGGAUUGGUGCAAGUUUGAAUGAGGUAUUAGGUGGGAUUGGUACUUUUGGUUGACGUCCCGAGGGCCUCGGGAUGACUUCGGAUGGUCGACAUAUGCAAUUUCUAAUGUGUGCAGCUACAUUUCUUAAGCCUUCUGGUAUUUGCGCUUCUGCGGGUUGAGAACUGCAAAAGCGGAGCCGCAGAACCGGCCAAGCCCACCGUAGAAGCGAGUUUGGACUCCUCUUCAAAAAUUGCAGAAGCGGUCUAGCCUCCGCAAAAGGCGGAACCGCAGAAGCGGUUCAUGUGUAUGCAAAAGCGGAAGCUGAGGUUUAAUGAGAAGUCGCAGAAGUGGCUCGGUGACCGUAUAUGCAGGACCAUAGAAGCGGUCCCUUAUCCGCAAAAGCAGAAAUGUCUAUUCAAAUUGAAAAAUCGAGGGUUAAGUUUUAAAUGUUGGAAAAUCAAUUGAGAGCUCGAGAGAAGGCAAUUCUGAGUGGGUUUUCAAGAGAAGAUUAUUGGGUAACAUUUCUAUGAUCCUUUUUAGUUAUAUUCCGUCGUUUUGUGGUUAAAUCCAUCUUUUAAAUUCGAAUUUAGGAUAAAAAAUUGGAUAAUUGAGUAAAACUUCCUUGGCCAAACUAUUGGGUUUUGAAGGGGCCUUUGACCUCCGAUUUGGGAGAUUUUUAUAUGGUUAGACUCGUAAGAGUACGAGGUUUCUAAAAAUGUGAAAAUUAUUAGAUUCUGAGAUAUUUUUCUGAGGGGCAUUUUGGUCAUUUUACCUAUUUUGCGCCUUAGCUUUAAUUUUAAUAGUGCAAGUAGUUAGUUGCGAUGUUACUUACAAUAUGUAAUUGGUUUGAAUAGAUUUGGGCCACUUGGAGUCGGAUACUCAUGGCAAGGGCAUUGUUUCUAAGUGAUUUUUGUACCGGUUCGAGGUAAGUGGCUUGUCUAACUUUGUGUGGUGGAACUCUUCCCUUAGGAUAUCUUGGAUGUUGUUUAGAAUUCCUUGUGCGUAAGGUGACAGGCGUUUACUUGUGCUAAUUGUUGGAAAUUGACCUUGCUUGACUUAUUUAGGCUGUGUUCCUCACGUAUUUUAACUGUUAUAAAUGCAAAUUGCACUUGUUUUAGCUUAGGGAAAGCAUGAUAGUUAUCUUACUUGUUCUAUUUGACCAUAUUUGCAAUACAUUCUCUACAUUAAGCAUGCUAGACUUUGGAUUCUACCUGUUGUCUUUACUUAGUAUUUGUACACUGUUGAAUUGUUUGUGUUUACGAUUGGGACUACGGGUUCAAAUUCCCGGGAGAUCCUCUGAUAUUGGUAUGAUGUACUACGGGUUAAAUUCUUGUGAGAUCCUCUAUUAUUGGUAUGAUGGACUACGUGUUCAAUACCCGGGAGAUCCUCUGAUUUUUGUAUGAUGGACUACGAGUUCAAUACCCGGGAGAUCCUCUGAUAUUGGUAUGAUGGACUACGGGUUCGAUUCCCGGGAGAUCCUCAGAUAUUGGUAAAAAUGGAUUGCGGGUUCAAUUCCUGGAGCUCCAUAUGGCAUCCUGAUAUUGAGUGAUACUUUGUUGUGUUAUUUUCUUUACGUAGUUUAAUUGUCGUUGACUUGCAGCUUCCAUUCUAUUUUAUUGUUGCUUUUCCUGUUUAUUCUCUUCCUUGCAAUGUUCAUUACUGUUGUUAUGUUAUUCUCAGUUGGGACAUGGCCUUCCUCGUUACUACCUAACCGAGGUUAGGCUUGGCACUUAAUAAGUACCAGUGUGGUGUACUCAUGCUAUUUUUCAACACAGUUUUGUUGUGUAGAUCCAGGUGCAUCCGACUAGGCGUAUCAUCAGUGAGUCCGGAGCUUUCUAUCGGAGACUCGAGGUAUAUCUGUUGCGUCUGCAGAGCGGAGAGUCUCUAUCCAUUCUAUCAUGUAAUAAUAGUACUGUUUUUCCUUUUUUUUCUCUGUUGUAUUACACACUCUUUAUAUUAGAGUUGUACUAAUGUUCUCAUAUCCUGUGUUGCCCG
rnacentral:lncRNA from 1 species